rnacentral:rRNA from 1 species
CCUACGGGUGGCAGCAGUGAGGAAUAUUGGUCAAUGGCCGGAAGGCUGAACCAGCCAUGCCGCGUGAAGGUCAGUGCCCUAUGGGCGUUACACUUCUUUUGUGCGGGAGCAAUAAUGGUCACGUGUGGCCAGACGAGAGUACCGUACGAUUACGCAUCGGCUAACUCCGUGCCAGCAGCCGCGGUAAUACGGGGGAUGCAAGCGUUAUCCGGCUUUAUUGGGUUUAAAGGGUGCGUAGGCUGUGAGGUAAGUCAGCGGGGAAAUGCCCCCGCUCAACGGGGUGAAGUGCAAUUGAUACUGCCUUGCUGGAAUGCGGAUGCCGUGGGAGGAAUGUGUGGUGUAGCGGUGAAAUGCAUAGAUAUCACACAGAACACCGAUUGCGAAGGCAUCUCACGAAUCCGCGAUUGACGCUGAUGCACGAAAGCGUGGGUAGCAAACAGGAUUAGAUACCCUUGUAGUC